AGCGAACGCUGGCGGCAGGCCUAACACAUGCAAGUCGAACGGACCCUUCGGGGUUAGUGGCGGACGGGUGAGUAACACGUGGGAACGUGCCCUUUGGUUCGGAACAACUCAGGGAAACUUGAGCUAAUACCGAAUGUGCCCUUCGGGGGAAAGAUUUAUCGCCAUUGGAGCGGCCCGCGUCUGAUUAGCUAGUUGGUGGGGUAAUGGCCUACCAAGGCGACGAUCAGUAGCUGGUCUGAGAGGAUGAUCAGCCACAUUGGGACUGAGACACGGCCCAAACUCCUACGGGAGGCAGCUGUGGGGAAUCUUGCGCAAUGGGCGAAAGCCUGACGCAGCCAUGCCGCGUGAAUGAUGAAGGUCUUAGGAUUGUAAAAUUCUUUCACCGGGGACGAUAAUGACGGUACCCGGAGAAGAAGCCCCGGCUAACUUCGUGCCAGCAGCCGCCGUAAAAC
rnacentral:rRNA from 1 species